UGCCAGUCCAGAACCAGACUCGGCUGUGGUUUCUACUGCACCAUGUCCUCUGACCACCACUGAUGAACGUCCUGCCCACACUGCCAGUCCAGAACCAGACUUGGCUGUGGUUUCUACUCCAUCGUGUCCUCUGACUGCCUCUGAUGAACCUCCUUCCCACACGGCCAUUUUGACAUACAGCAACAAAAUGUCCUUUGUUGAAGGAAGGAUGACCAUCUACAGACCCAUACGGGUGUUGUUUGACACACCCAUAUAUGAGCGAGCUCUGCAGAUCUGCUGGCACUUGCCCUCUUAUAAGUCUAUGAUUGCACUGAUGUCU